rnacentral:rRNA from 1 species
UACGUAGGGUGCAAGCGUUGUCCGGAAUUAUUGGGCGUAAAGAGCUCGUAGGCGGUCUGUUACGUCCGCUGUGAAAACCCAGGGCUUAACCCUGGGCUUGCAGUGGAUACGGGUAGACUAGAGGCAGGUAGGGGAGAAUGGAAUUCCUGGUGUAGCGGUGAAAUGCGCAGAUAUCGGGAGGAACACCGGUGGCGAAGGCGGUUCUCUGGGACGGUACUGACGCUGAGACGCGAAAGCGUGGGGAGCGAACAGG